rnacentral:rRNA from 1 species
CUACGGAGGGUCCGAGCGUUAAUCGGAAUUACUGGGCGUAAAACGCGCGUAGGUGGAUGUAUAAGUCAGAUGUGAAAGCCCUGGGCUCAACCUAGGAACUGCAUUUGAAACUGUACGUCUAGAGUAUGGUAGAGGUGAGUGGUAUUUCAGGUGUAGCGGUGAAAUGCGUAGAGAUCUGAAGGAACAUCAGUGGCGAAGGCGACUCACUGGGCCAUUACUGACACUGAGGUGCGAAAGCGUGGGUAGCAAACAGGAUUAGAAACCCUAGUAGUCC